rnacentral:sRNA from 1 species
CAAGUAAUCACCUAGUUUCCAAAAAUGAAGUUCCUAGUUAUGGUUGUUGCUGCUUUUACCGCUCUAUUGGCCUAUAAUGAUGGCAACCCACCACCAUUCAACCCCGGCAAGUAAAAGAAUGCUGGAGUCCUGACAUCUGGAUGGAUAAUUGCCCAAUAAUGGAUUUGAUUUAUAUAUUAAAACACCAAUCAUAAAUAAAAUCUUUCUAAAUAUGCUUUGAAAAGAAA